GGCCUGAUGGUCUAGGAGUAUGAUUCGUUGUUAGGGAGUUUUAAAAAAUCUCCUCAUCGACGAGGUCCCGGGUUCAAUUCCCGGUCAGGCCC